GGUCAGGACGAACGCUGGCGGCGUGCUUAACACAUGCAAGUCGAACGAUGAAGCCCUUCGGGGUGGAUUAGUGGCGAACGGGUGAGUAACACGUGGGCAAUCUGCCCUUCACUCUGGGACAAGCCCUGGAAACGGGGUCUAAUACCGGAUACCACUCCUGCCUGCAUGGGCGGGGGUUGAAAGCUCCGGCGGUGAAGGAUGAGCCCGCGGCCUAUCAGCUUGUUGGUGGGGUAAUGGCCCACCAAGGCGACGACGGGUAGCCGGCCUGAGAGGGCGACCGGCCACACUGGGACUGAGACACGGCCCAGACUCCUACGGGAGGCAGCAGUGGGGAAUAUUGCACAAUGGGCGAAAGCCUGAUGCAGCGACGCCGCGUGAGGGAUGACGGCCUUCGGGUUGUAAACCUCUUUCAGCAGGGAAGAAGCGAAAGUGACGGUACCUGCAGAAGA
rnacentral:rRNA from 1 species